CCUGUCAGAGAGCGAGGGAGGGGUGGGGCUGGCCGAGCAUCGUAAGGGCCUUGGCCUUGACUCUGGGUGAGACGGGAAGUCGUGGGGGCAUUUGGAGCGUGCCUUGGCGUGUGCAU